rnacentral:lncRNA from 1 species
GCGCCAGAAAUGUUUGUUGAUAUUUGUUAACGCCAUCAGGAAAUGAUCCGCAAGCGCACAGAUAUCGGUGAGCACUUCACCCGGGAGGUUAUCUAGAGUAUCGUAUUUAGAAUUUUUACCACUAGGAGAAAGCAUGCAUCUGACUAACCAAAUCUAUUGCUACUACCCUUUAGGCUACAGACAAUGUGAUUUGAUAUGAGCGAUGUAUAGAGAAGACUACAACCGCACUCUCGUUCUAACCUUGGUAAGGAUGAUCUACUGUUCUAUUGGGGAGGCUCACAGAAUCUAGACACCACAAAGGAUGUUCGACCCGCACCUAUAAACCCUACCGAUCCAGCUAACGGGAUUAUGGGAUACAAAGGUAGCUACGGAAAUGUCACGUUCCUCGCUACUACCACGGUCCAGCUAGACAGGGGAUAUCUAUGAGUACCCA